rnacentral:misc_RNA from 1 species
AAAAGAUUAUACUAAAAGCAGCACUUCCAUUCCACUGGUUCAAUUUCAACUUGUACACUUGACUUUUAUCGGGAAAAGUCUGUUCCUUCCAAGCUCCAAUUCUUAUUUCCAACCAAACAAUGAAAAGAAAAUUCCUCAUCUUUCUAGCUCAAAUUGCUAACCAUACAAUCAAAUUGAAAAGCUAUUAACUUUACACAAAAUUGGAUGUCAAAUGUGUUAUAUCCCACAUUAAUUUGAGAUAGAGAUAAUGUGUCCUUUAUAAAAUUUUAUAUAGUUUUACUAAGUUAAAUUCAAUUUAUUUUUUAAAAGAUAAUACCAUUAAAAUAUAUAUAUUAUAUUAUAACAUUAUGGUAAACAAAAGCUGCGGGCUAUUUGACUGUGCAGCCUCCUCAGCUCAUCCCUUACAUGAACUCUUUCACCUUUUGCCC